rnacentral:rRNA from 1 species
UGGGGAAUAUUGGACAAUGGGCGAAAGCCUGAUCCAGCCAUGCCGCGUGUGUGAAGAAGGCCUUUUGGUUGUAAAGCACUUUAAGCGAGGAGGAGGCUACUUGGAUUAAUACUCUAGGAUAGUGGACGUUACUCGCAGAAUAAGCACCGGCUAACUCUGUGCCAGCAGCCGCGGUAAUACAGAGGGUGCGAGCGUGAAUCGGAUUUACUGGGCGUAAAGCGUGCGUAGGCGGCUUUUUAAGUCGGAUGUGAAAUCCCUGAGCUUAACUUAGGAAUUGCAUUCGAUACUGGGAAGCUAGAGUAUGGGAGAGGAUGGUAGAAUUCCAGGUGUAGCGGUGAAAUGCGUAGAGAUCUGGAGGAAUACCGAUGGCGAAGGCAGCCAUCUGGCCUAAUACUGACGCUGAGGUACGAAAGCAUGGGGAGCAAACAGG